AAACAGAUCGCGCGGAGUGAACCUGGUAUGGCGGCGCGUGGAUUUCCCUCUGUCUAUUAUUAAGAUUAAACUUGGGCUUCGCAGUCCUCUCACCUCCAUACCCCGGAUUUGGAGGUCUGUAACAAUGGCUUGAGGAGGCGGAUGAAGAACUUCCCAUUGACCCACAGGAAACCCCGGUUGUAAAGAGAAACUGGGGUCUGAGAAAGAGGCCUAUAAAUGACCAUCCGGAGGAACCAGACAGCUCGCUUGAGGAGCCACAGAAUGAGGCAUUCUUGAAGAGUAGUCGGGCGGAGAAGGACCCGAUAGUAAACGAGGGAUGCCUGUAAGCGAGCAUCCUGCCAGUGCCGGUCCCUGCAGUGAGAAAGGAGGCAACUGAAAGGACGAAGCUGGGUCUCAUCUCUAGGGAAAAAAUAAGUAUAAACUUCCUCACAGGCCCGGGCAGGCCUCCGGCGAUUGGCAGUGAAGCAAACGCAGCAGGUCCCAGACAAGCAGGACAGACAAGGCACUUGUACACGAAGGAGGAAUUCAAGGAAGCCCGGCGACGAGGACAGGGACAGCAAAGAGUAAGCAGAGUGACCUGGGGGAUUAUUCACCGGUGGCGGCAUAUUGUGUCCAGGAGAAUGAACUGCCAUGAACAGCAAGUAGAAGAGCCGACUCAACAUGGAAUAGUAGUUUUAGUUGAAGAUAUGAAGCUCCCCAGUCACUGCACAGCCAGGGUGGAUUUUCUGCCACCUUCACAAGCCUCCUGCAGGGAGGGUCACCGUGUCUCAGAUCUACUCACUGUGGAGUUUAAAUCCUCCCUCCUCUGCUUGUCACCCCUCAGGGUGAGCUGAGAAGUCAGCCAGAGGGAGCAGAGUGACAGUGGCUGAAGGGAAAUGGUACUGGGCAGUUGAUAGUGAACAGAGCCCGAGAGGAAAAGCCCCUCCCCUUAAGGCUGCAAGAUCUGCAUUAGGGCAGGAGGUUCUUCAGUGCAGAAAGAAGCAGAGGUCGUCAACCAGAGGAUCUGGCACCAGCUUUUUGGCACUUACCCAGAAGAACAGUUCACAGGCCACCAGGGGAAAACACCAGAUGUUACCAGGAGGGGCGUGGAAGUCCUCUGGUUCUUGGUCUCCUUGAAUUCAGUCAAGAGACACGCAGAAAGAGUUAAGCAGGUAAGUGCCCUUUAUCUAAAGGCGUAGGAGCUCGGAAAGAAGAGAUACCCUGAACAGUGGAGCAGGGUGGGCUCCUCAAAAGAAUGAGCCUGUCCCUACUAGUGUUGGGCAGAGCCUUUUUGUGAGAAUCUGACAUGAUUAUUCAUGAAGGGGCUGUGCAGGGAUGUUCCUAGUAAGCACGUUCCAGGAAGUCCUCUGAUCAGGAAAGCCCUGUGACGGUCCGUGCUGGUACACACGUCACAUAUCUCAUUAGCAUCUCAAAUCUCCAGCCAGGGAUGUGUGUUUCAGUAUCAUUUUGAGCAGAAGGCUCUUCUAGGGUGGGUUAUUGCAGAAGUACACAUGGUUGUUAAUGGGGAAAAUCCCCCAUCUCGAUUAUGUCCAGCUAGCCCCUGAUAAGUCCCCUUCUGGGCCAGAGGAGUGCAGCCACAAGGCCAGGUGGAGGCAAUGUAGCCACUGAUCUUUUCUUGCUGUCAGUGGGCAGCAUCUUUAAGGAGACUCUCAGUGAGUUGCAUUUCUUUUUUCUUUUUUCUUUUCUUUUUUUUUUUUUUUUGAGACAGAGUCUCGCUCUGUCACCCAGGCUGGAGUGCAGUGGCCCGAUCUCGGCUCAUUGCAAGCUCCGCCUCCCGGGUUCACGCCAUUCUCCUGCCUCAGCCUCCUGAGUAGCUGGGACUACAUGCGCCCACCACCAGGCCAGCUAAGUUUUUGUAUUUUUAGUAGAGAUGGAGUUUCACUGUGUUAGCCAGGAUGGUCUUGAUCUCCUGACCUCGUGAUCCACCUGUCUCGGCCUCCCAAAGUGCUGGGAUUACAGGCAUGAGCCACUGUGCCUGGCCAGUGAGUUGCAUUUCUAAAUAUUCCUUUCCAAAGUGUCAGAGACAUUUGAACCAGAGCAAUUCCAUCUGGAAUAGGGGCUGGAGAAAAUAAGCCUGAGACCUGCUGGGUUACAUUCCCAGUAAGUGAAGGCAUUCUUAGUCAUAGGAUGAAACAGGAGGCUGCUCUGACUAUGGAGUAGCCAUACUUUAUUCCUUUACUCUCUUAAUAAACUUGCUUUCACUUUA